GGGUGGGGGGGCUGCUAUGAAUGUACAGUCAGAGCUGAUGGCUGUAAAUAUACGAUCUGAACAGGCAGAUGGUGGCAGAGAUAAAGACUAUUGUCCUUCUCUUCAAUCUGAUUUGCUGUCUACGGUUACAUUUGAGGCAUCAGUAUUAAAGAAAUGCUAACAUACCUUGGCCUUGCGUCACAGAUCUGUAUCCCUAGCCACUGGAUGGACCAAGGCAGGAGAAUUAAAAAAUUCUUGCAAGGCACCUGAGUGACUUAGUGAGGUUGCUUCUCAAAUUAACAGUUAGGUAAGAAAAUGGCUGGGGACACAGCUUAGGGAUAGGGCCUUUGCCUGCACACAUGAGGAGGUGGGGUCAAUCCAUAGUAGCGGGGAUGGGGGAAGGAGGAAGAGGAAGAAGGGGAGGAAGGGGAGGAAGGGGAAGAAGGGAAGGAAGGGGAAGAAGGGGAGGGAGGGGAGGAGGGUAUCAGCAGCAGCAAUUCAACAAUUCCAUAAAUACGUGGCAGAAAAGAAAGUGAAUCAGAACAGGGCUUUUGACCAAGAAAUUCUAAAACCUUGGAAAGGUUAUCAGACAAAUUUACAGACCACGUCUGAACAGUGAUUUGAAUAAAUCUGACUAGAUAACCUUAGAAGCAUUUUCAGCUAAGGAUAGUUCAAAAUAUGACUCCUGUAAAAACAGCCAAGUUAUGGUGGCCGAGCAGGAAGGUGAAACCUGGUAUUUUACACACAGGCGGGUUUUGUCCUCUCUCAGGUUGAACCAGAGUUUGUUUGACUUCUGCUGCUCUUACUCCUGGUCACUUAUUAACACAUCUAACAAGCAGAAGAGGACUCGAACUAAAAACUAAGGUAGGGGAACUCAGCCAGCCCCAUUUCUACUGACAGCCAUACCUGUCUCAACCAACUGGCCUUCUCCCUGCCAUAGAGACAGGGGCAUGGCAUUGCUUACAAACCAGGCUUCCCAGUUACAUGCCUCGCAAGCCGGCUCCUGAAAACACAGCGCUAUUUCAUUCUUUCCAAACGCCUUCGAAGGGGGCCUGCAAAUGAGCGGAACGCUAGUGGGGCUGCGCUCCAAACCCGGGGGAGGGAUUUCCUGCUACCUUAGCCCAUCCCCCACCACUGCGAAGGAGGAAGGAAGCGGCAGCUCACCAAGACUCAUGAACACUCCCUGACACCUUCGUAGAAGCAGAAUUUUGGGCCUGGCCACCCCACCCCACCCCCGAACCUAAAGGACCUACAUUUUAACAGGAUGCGUACCUGUGUUGGCUGUACACUGCACAGCUCUUGCCAGGGUUUGAAACAGUCCCUUACGCGUGUGCCGCCUGUGUUCACACACUGUCUUCCUGGCCCCGGAGAGGGAGACAGGGCAGAGAUCGUAAAGAUGAAGAUUUACACAAGUCUUUUAAAUGCUAAAAAAUCCAUCACAGGAUAUACCUCGAAACGGAUACAUUCAUUUUCAAUAGUUCCUUCCCUGAGAGUCACAUCCGGUCUGUCCUCUUCCGUCCAGAUGUCAACUGUGACAAAUUCAUAAGAACCCCUCUAACAAGGUUGGUUCUACAAAUUCUAAAGGGUUGUAGGGAUCUUGUUUUCCCUAGCUACUCCUCAAUCAGAGGAAGCAAACGUGGGGAAAUUUUAAGUAUUUUCGACUUGCCCAGUCCUGGGGCAAAGCAAAUCCACCUAUGCCUUGUUGAGAUGGAGGAUUCGGUUGGUAUGGAUCAGACAGAGAGAGGACUCAUCCUGCUACAGAGACGAUCCUGCAGCGGAGACUCCUAAUGAGCAGUCGGUGGCAAAAAAAAAAAAAAAAAAAAAAAAAAAAAAAAAAAAUCACAAUGCAAAAACAAUUAGCCGGGGGAAUUUUUCAGGUGUCAGUUUCAAUGAGGGAGGAACAGACAAGGAAUAAAAAAUCAUCGCAUGUAAAA
rnacentral:sRNA from 1 species